AGAAGAUGAAGACGAAGGGGAAGACGAUGGAGACGAAGACGAAGACGAAGACGAAGACGAUUACAACUUCUUCUCUUUCAUACGCAAAACCCUCCAGCUUCGCAGACCUCACAUCAACAAGUCUCUAAAAAAUUUAUGUCUUCAUUAUUACAGGAAGAAGGCCACGUCGGAUCAUGAUAACUUUUAUUUUACCAAACUGUGCUUGAUUCGUUGUUGGACUUUGCAGUAGAGAAUCAUUGUCGAGAGAUUGUUCUUCUUCAUAUACUCCUCACCAUGCCUGGCCUUACCUUGUCUGCAGAAAAUAAUUACUUGAUCGAUGUGAGUCAUGACUCAAUUCUUCCUCUAUUUUCAUCAGAGUUCUGACCUAUCUAAGUCUUUCUGGUUUAAGAAUUCCGAUUGCUGAUCCUAUUAUCCUAUGCCCUAAAUUGGAAAGUCUUGAAAUCUUCCAUUGCCAAGGAUUAAAAACUUUAACUAUUUCAUCCCAGUCAUUGGAAAAAGUUGAAAUAUGCGGUUGUAUAGGGUUGGAAGGAGUUGAACUGAAGGGAAAGAAAAUAUCAACUUUCAUUUUUCAAGGCAUUAAAGUCAAUGAACUUGAGCCAUAUGAUGAGAUAUCAAUUAACCUUUCAGCUUGUGAAUCCGUGAAAAUGUGAUUCUACUUAACACCAAGUUGUCAGAGAAUUUCUUGACGGAACUAGCCACAGAGUAUUUGUUCAUUACGUUCUGUGACUUGCCUGAGAACCUGAGAAUCGAAAACCCCAACAUUAGACAGCUGUCGAUAAGUGUGAUAGUGAUGAUAAAUUGGAGAAUUAUUCCUCUCUGCUAUCAAUCUUGAGCAUUUUAUUUAUGAGUCUCAACAAAGACCAAACUGUACACUGAAUAUCUCAGCAUGUGUGGCUCUAACACACUUGACAUUGAAAGGAGCAACCAUAACAGAUGAAUGGUUGAGAGAGUACAAUAUCAAACUUGGAUUGUCUGAAGAGUGGACGAUUAGUGAAUGCAAUUCCUUAGAGAAGAUUGGGUUUGAAAAUAACAGGCUUGCGUGCUUGUGUUUGGCCAAGUGUUUCAAUUUAAAAGAGGUAAUUGUUGAUGUUCCAAACCUGCUCAAAUUUGCCUAUCAAGGAAACCUUCAAGUUUAUCCAAUCCAAAUCUUAUCAUCAACCAAAUUCAGAACUGAGAUUACAUUAAUGCCAGAAGGCAACAUAGAUCCACUCUCAUGGUUUGGCAACAUGAAGCAAUUUCUCUUGCUUUCAACACAUCAAAGACCUCUCUAUCAAUCGCUGCAAAGCACAGGAUAUGAUCUUUCCAAAGAAGUUUUUGCUGGAAAAUAAUCCAUGUCCACUACACAAUCUAAAAUAUAUGAAAUUACAAAUGAUGAAUAAUCCAAAGGUCAAACAGCAGUGAAAUUGGUGGAGAGUUUGCUUUGGUUGGCGCCUAAACCCUUGCAAUUGACGCUCACUGAUUACAUGGACAGAAUUAAAACCUUGAAGUUUGAAUAUGGUGAGAAAUUGGAGAGGACGAGGGCAAGAUGUUGUUUGGAAGUUCCCAUCAAGUGUUGGCGACACUAUGAGCUCAAAGUAGACAUUCAAGGCUUCAAUCAUUGUGGGACAAGACGCUUGAGAAAAUUCUUUGCUACUCCUUAAUUAUAUGCACAUUCCAUAUUGGACUCAAAAGAUUAGAUACCCCAUUGAUCUCUUUGAUGUUUGUAAUUAUGUUCUCUAAAAUUGCUUCAUAACUUUUUAGUUGGAAAUGACAAAUUCUCCUAUUCUAUGCA